UACUCCAAAAUUUAUCAGUAUUGGAGGAUUGAUUGUUUCCAAAUCAAUACUCCUGGGCAUCAUUCAUGGCUGUCUAGUAGUCGACAUACUUCUGGUUCCAUUUAGUGUAUGCAGGUAGCAGCAGCUUAAGUGUAAUGGAGUUGUUUUGUUACUCUAUGCCUACUUCGUUAGAGUUAGCAUCACCUCCUUGUCAUUCAUAGCAUAAACGCCUUCACUAUUCUUGCUCUGAACCUCUGAUCCUGAUACUGAUUGUAUUUUUCUUGAUGGAAUUACAGGCAACAUGGUGACUCUAGUGCAGGCAGCGUUGGCCAUCCUCUUCGAGGCUGUGUUUAGGACGAGCUGCAGCAGGACAACCUGGAGCGGAAGAACUUCGAGGGCAAUAUCAAGGAGAACCAGGAGACGAUCUCCGGUUACCUCAUCCUCGUCGGCAUGCUUGGCUCCUUUGGCAGACCCCUCUUUGGCUCCGACCAACUUACUUUUGUCGCUGGCUAGCAGCAUUUCCAGGUGUUGUGUUCUGGAAGAUGGAAGAGGAAGAAAAUUUAUUUUUGUUGAACUAAAUUUUUUGUAUUCUGUUUUGUUGUACGUAUGAUUUGAUAGUUUUGUAUAGGAACAUGUGAUACUAUUUUGUAGGGCUUUAUGGCCUGUGAUGUAAACAUAUUUAGUGAUGAAUUAUGAAAUUAUUUGCAAAAUUUAUUGAAAAGGAGAAUCAUUUGUAUGAAUAUGGGCCGCAUAUAUGUG